AUACGUAGGUGGCGAGCGUUGUCCGGAAUUACUGGGUGUAAAGGGAGCGUAGGCGGGUACGCAAGUUGAAUGUGAAAACUAACGGCUCAACCGAUAGUUGCGUUCAAAACUGCGGAUCUUGAGUGAAGUAGAGGCAGGCGGAAUUCCUAGUGUAGCGGUAAAAUGCGUAGAUAUUAGGAGGAACACCAGUGGCGAAGGCGCUUCUCUGGACUGUAACUGACGCUGAGGCUCGAAAGCGUGGGGAGC
rnacentral:rRNA from 1 species